rnacentral:rRNA from 1 species
GACAAGCGGUGGAGCAUGUGGUUUAAUUCGAAGCAACGCGAAGAACCUUACCAGGCCUUGACAUGCAGAGAACUUUCCAGAGAUGGAUUGGUGCCUUCGGGAACUCUGACACAGGUGCUGCAUGGCUGUCGUCAGCCCGUGUCGUGAGAUGUUGGGUUAAGUCCCGUAACGAGCGCAACCCUUGCCUUUAGUUGCCAGCAGUUCGGCUGGGCACUCUAAAGGGACUGCCGGUGUUAAACCGGAGGAAGGUGGGGAUGACGUCAAGUCCUCAUGGCCUUUAUGACCAGGGCUACACACGUACUACAAUGGCCGAUACAAAGGGCAGCGACACUGCGAGGUGAAGCCAAUCCCGUAAAAUCGGUCUCAGUCCGGAUUGGAGUCUGCAACUCGACUCCAUGAAGUUGGAAUCGCUAGUAAUCGUGGAUCAGCAUGCCACGGUGAAUACGUUCCCGGGCCUU